UCGAGGAUCUUCGGCAAUGGGCGCAAGCCUGACCGAGCGACGCCGCGUGUGCGAUGAAGGCCUUCGGGUUGUAAAGCACUGUCGAGGGGGAUAAAGCCGCAAGGUUGAUAGAUCCCUGGAGGAAGCACGGGCUAAGUUCGUGCCAGCAGCCGCGGUAAGACGAACCGUGCGAACGUUGUUCGGAAUCAUUGGGCUUAAAGGGCGCGUAGGCGGGGUCGUCAGUCUGUGGUGAAAUCCUCUGGCUCAACCAGAGAACUGCCGUGGAUACUGCGACUCUCGAGGGGUGUAGGGGCAUGUGGAACUCAGGGUGGAGCGGUGAAAUGCGUAGAUAUCCUGAGGAACGCCGGUGGCGAAAGCGGCGUGCUGGACACCUUCUGACGCUGAGGCGCGAAAGCCAGGGGAGCAAACG
rnacentral:rRNA from 1 species